UACAGAGGGGGCAAGCGUUGUUCGGAAUUACUGGGCGUAAAGGGCGCGUAGGCGGCCUGCUAAGUCGAACGUGAAAUCCCUGGGCUCAACCCAGGAACUGCGCCCGAUACUGGUUGGCUUGAAUCCGGGAGAGGGAUGUGGAAUUCCAGGUGUAGCGGUGAAAUGCGCAGAUAUCGGAAGGAACAUCAGUGGCGAAAGCGACUUCCUGGACCAGUACCGACGUUCAGGCACGAAAGCGUGGGGAGCAAACAGG
rnacentral:rRNA from 1 species